GGGGGUGUAAUGGAUUCGAUUCCAAGUCGUAGACCCUGGCUGCAUGUCGGAGAAGAAUGGUUGGCUCCGUUAAAAAUCCAUUCAAAAAAAUAAACGGCAAAAAUAAUGUCGUUGCAUUCCCUCAAGCUGCCUUUGCUAAGGCUGCCUAAGCGGUGUGCACAAAGGUUGUCAUAGUUACAACCCGUCUGGAACUCCCGACGUCCGAUGAGGGGUUACAGGCGUCAAGCUUAUCGGAUAUAGUCUGUGUACGCGUUGGGCGCAGGCCGUACUUUUCAGCGCUAGGAAUGGCAAAUGUGCGUUUUCCAUGAGCCAUUGCGAAAUCUCCUGAGGACGCUAAACAUGUAGAUGCUUCGGCCAAAAGCUUGAAAGACGCGGGUUCGACUCCCGCCACCUCCAUUU
rnacentral:tmRNA from 2 species